rnacentral:rRNA from 1 species
AGCUAAUAGAUACCCGGGUAGUCCUGGCAGUAAACGGUGCGCGUUUGGUGUGGGAGGAUUCGACCCCUUCUGUGCCGGAGCUAAACGCGUUAAACGCGCCGCCUGGGGAGUACGGUCGCAAGAUUAAAACUCAAAGAAAUUGACGGGGGCCCGCACAAGCGGUGGAGUAUGUGGCUUAAUUCGAUGCAACGCGAAGAACCUUACCUAGCCUUGACAUGCAUCUCUAAGUCGGUGAAAGCCGGCGACCAUAGCAAUAUGGAAUUUGCACAGGUGCUGCAUGGCUGUCGUCAGCUCGUGUCGUGAGAUGUUGGGUUAAGUCCCGCGACGAGCGCAACCCCUGUGAACUGUUGCCACCACACUACGGUGUGAGCACUCUGUUCAGACUGCCCUGUGAAACGGGGAGGAAGGUGGGGAUGACGUCAAGUCAGCAUGGCCCUUACGGCUAGGGCUGCACACGUACUACAAUGCUCAGUACAGAACGAACCGAAACCGCGAGGUGGAGGAAAUCCCGAAAACUGAGCUCAAUUCGGA